rnacentral:tRNA from 1 species
GCUACUGUAGUAUAAUGGCAAUUACACUUCUUUUGUAAUGAAGAAAUCGGCGUUCGAUUCGUCGUAGUAGCUC